GACGAACUGUGCAAACGUUAUUCGGAAUCACUGGGCUUAAAGGGUGCGUAGGCGGCUCGUUAAGUAGGGUGUGGAAUCCCCCGGCUCAACCGGGGAACUGCGCCCUAAACUAGCGGGCUGGAGUGAGGCAGGGGUGUGUGGAACUUCCAGUGGAGCGGUGAAAUGUGUUGAUAUUGGAAGGAACGCCGGUGGCGAAAGCGACACACUGGGCCUUGUCUGACGCUGAGGCACGAAAGCCAGGGGAGCAAACGGG
rnacentral:rRNA from 1 species